rnacentral:rRNA from 1 species
UCCUACGGGGGGCAGCAGUGGGGAAUCUUGCACAAUGGGGGAAACCCUGAUGCAGCGACGCCGCGUGGAGGACGAAGGAUCUAGGUCUGUAAACUCCUUUUUCACGGAAAGACUUAGGACGGUACCGUGAGAAUAAGCCCCGGCUAACUACGUGCCAGCAGCCGCGGUAAGACGUAGGGGGCGAGCGUUGUCCGGAUUUACUGGGCGUAAAGAGCGCGUAGGCGGCUCGUUAAGUGUGAAGUGAAAUCUCCAGGGCUCAACCCGGAAACUGCUUCGCAUACUGGCGAGCUUGAGGAAUGCAGAGGUAAGUAGAAUUCCUGGUGUAGCGGUGAAAUGCGUAGAUAUCAGGAGGAAUACCGACGGCGAAGGCAGCUUACUGGGCAUUAUCUGACGCUGAGGCGCGAAAGCGUGGGUAGCAAACAGGAUUAGAUACCCCAGUAGUCC